AUUGAACGCUGGCGGCAGGCCUAACACAUGCAAGUCGAGCGGAUGAAGGGAGCUUGCUCCUGGAUUCAGCGGCGGACGGGUGUGUAAUGCCUAGGAAUCUGCCUGGUCGUGGGGGAUAACGUCCGGAAACGGGCGCUAAUCCCGCAUACGUCCUGAGGGAGAAAGUGGGGGAUCUUCGGACCUCACGCUAUCAGAUGAGCCUAGGUCGGAUUAGCUAGUUGGUGGGGUAAAGGCCUACAAAGGCGACGAUCCGUAACUGGUCUGAGAGGAUGAUCAGGCACACUGGGACUGAGACACGGUCCAGACUCCUACGGGAGGCAGCAGUGGGGAAUAUUGGACAAUGGGCGAAAGCCUGAUCCAGCCAUGCCGCGUGUGUGAAGAAGGUCUUCGGAUUGUAAAGCACUUUAAGUGGGGAGGAAGGGCAGUAAGUGAAUACCUUGCUGUUUUGACGUUACCAACAGAAUAAGCACCGGCUAACUUCGUG
rnacentral:rRNA from 1 species